rnacentral:rRNA from 1 species
UACAGAGGGUGCGAGCGUUGUUCGGAAUUAUUGGGCGUAAAGGGCGCGUAGGCGGUUGGGUAAGUCACCUGUGAAAUCUCCUGGCUCAACUGGGAGCUUGCAGGCGAAACUGCUUGACUGGAGUAUGGGAGAGGUGCGUGGAAUUCCCGGUGUAGCGGUGAAAUGCGUAGAUAUCAGGAGGAACACCGAUGGCGAAGGCGGCCAGCUAGACCAGUUCUGACACUGAGGCGCGACAGCGUGGGGAGCAAACAGG